rnacentral:rRNA from 1 species
UACGUAGGGGGCUAGCGUUGUCCGGAAUCAUUGGGCGUAAAGAGCGUGUAGGCGGUCCGGUAAGUCCGCUGUGAAAGUCGGGGGUCAACUCCGGAAUUGCCUUUAAGACUGCAUCGCUAGAAUUGUGGAGAGGUAAGUGGAAUUCCGAGUGUAGAGGCGAAAUUCGUAGAUAUUCGGAAGAACACCAGUGGCGAAGGCGGCUCACUGGUCCGGUACUGACGCUGAGGUGCGAAAGCGUGGG